GCACUGCUGAGGAGUCCCAUAAUAGGACGAAACGACCGCCCAGUGC
rfam:Schistosoma mansoni strain Puerto Rico chromosome W, complete genome